UUCCAAGCCUUUGAAAAAGGGGAAAUCUUCCAGUUUUACAAAAGUUAAUUGCCAGUGACUGGUCUACACUGACAUGGUUAGGAAUGCAAAAUGGGGCAUACCUGGGAUCUCCUAACCAUCCCAUCUUAAUCAUUAUUUUUAUUGUUUCCCUGUGAAUUCUGUGUUACUAAAGCUGAACUGCUGCAUCAUCGAUUUUAUUCCAUAAAUUGUUAAAUUUCCCUAUUAUCAAUAAUGUCACUUUUAGUUCGAUUGGCUGAGUUUUCUUUGCCUCAACAUGUUCCAACUUCAGAAUUGUUUGCUCUUUUUUCACAGAGGAAAUGUCUUUUGAAGGCUUCACUGACUCCAAGCAGAUUUCUUCCAACAAUUUCUUGCUUCUUGUGAUGUUAGAAGAGCAAUUAUGUUCCUGUGAGCAGCUGAUGGAGGACAUCAUCAACAUGGAAGUACUUCUUUGUGAGAGAACUGUCAGCUUACCUUUAUAUUAAUAGAUAUUACCUUUGAACUAUAUCUGUGGGAAAAGAAAAGCUAUUUUAGUCCAAGCGAUUCUCCUGUGUCAGCCUCCCAACUAGCUGGGAUUACAGGUGUUCUCCUGAAGAGGGUGAAGGUCCCUACCCUGAAAUAUGGUCAAGACCUCAUAGCAACACCAAGAAAUCCAGGGAAGAUUUAUUUUCCCACCUCUGUGUUGGCUCAAGAAGAAAAGAAUAGAUUUCAAUGGCAGCUAGUAUAGUAUUAUCUAGAAAUAUAAUUUGUAAAUUUUUAAAAAAUACAAUCCAAUAUUACACAUUGG